rnacentral:piRNA from 1 species
UCCCCCAGAGACUCUUGGAGUCAGAUGCA